rnacentral:rRNA from 1 species
ACUUGUAUAGACCAGCGUUGAAUGCACCAAUUCCCCAUGGAUGACUGAAGUUAAGCAACGUUGCAUUUGGUUAGUACCCGGAUGGGUGACCAUUUGGUCAAUCGCGUGCUGCUGGUU